AGUAAAGUAUGUAAAGUAAAUAUCAGAAUAUUGAAAGAUUUUGAUCUUCUUUCUAUAUAAGUACAGUAAAUAUUUUGCACUCAUCCAACCAAACAAUCUUUUGCCCCUCCAUCUCCUUUCAAUAAUCCAAAAUUCCCAUAAACAAAACCUUCAUCUUGUGAGAGAGAGAUAAUAGAGAUGGAUACACCACAGGUAGAGACCAUGGACAUCUCCGGCAAAAGUUAUACCCCAAUUGAAGAUGAGCAGGAUAAAACAGUUGACCAGUGUUGUUCUUGCUUUUACGACUGUAUUGAUAGCUUGUUGAACUACUUGUGCUGCUAUGAUUUCUGGCGUGCUUAGGGAUACACAUCAUAUAACUACUCUGGUAGUCUUAUUUUUCCCAAAAGGGAACUUGUUAGAUGAACCAGUUAUGUUCUUUCGCUUUUGCACUGCUUAGAUCAAAGUUAUUUAUCCAUCUUAUAUUGUAAUUAAAGUUCUAAUGAGAAUUUGAGAUGGUCAAUAUCUUCUUCAUUA